GGUGGGGCCCCGCGCGACGGACGCGCCCGAAAGGUGUCAGGUCCUGACGGAAGCAGCACUAAGGGAUGCCGGACGGGUGCCGCGGAAAAGCCUUGCCAGG
rnacentral:SRP_RNA from 1 species